AUUGAACGCUGGCGGCGUGCUUUACACAUGCAAGUCGGACGAGUGGCGAACGGGUGAGUAACGCAUCGGAACGUACCGAGUAAUGGGGGAUAACUGUCCGAAAGGACAGCUAAUACCGCAUAUUAUUCGAGCGGCCGAUGUCUGAUUGGCGGGUUGGCGGGGUAAAGGCCCACCAAGGCGACGAUCAGUAGCGGGUCUGGGAGGAGGAUCCGCAACACGGUGACUGAGACACGGCCCAGCCUCCUACGGUAGGCAGCAGUGGGAAAUUGUGGACAAGGGGCGCAAGCCGGAUACAGCCAUGCCGCGUGUCUGAAGAAGGCCUUCGGGUUUUAAAGGACUUUUGUCAGGGAAGCGGUACCUGAAGAAUAAGCACCGGCUAACUACGUGCCAGCAGCCGCGGUAAUUC
rnacentral:rRNA from 1 species